rnacentral:rRNA from 1 species
UACGUAGGGUGCAAGCGUUAUCCGGAAUUAUUGGGCGUAAAGAGCUCGUAGGCGGUUUGUCACGUCUGCUGUGAAAACUGGAGGCUCAACCCCGGACUUGCAGUGGGUACGGGCAGACUGGAGUGUGGUAGGGGAGACUGGAAUUCCUGGUGUAGCGGUGGAAUGCGCAGAUAUCAGGAGGAACACCGAUGGCGAAGGCAGGUCUCUGGGCCACUACUGACGCUGAGAAGCGAAAGCAUGGGGAGCGAACAGG